CCCGCGCCUCCCGCCAGCAGCCACGUGGCUCCGAGAGGCCACGCCCCCUCCCUCAGCCCCGCCCCCUCUCUCUCAGCCCCGCCCCUUUUCCAGGGCCCCGCCCCCCUUUCCCGCCCCCGGCGCCUUCGAGAAGCCCCGCCCCUCCCUCGACCAGCCCCGCCCACCAGCCGACCCGCGGCGGCGCCGACCCGGAACCGGAAGCACCUUCGGCCCCGGAACCGGAAGUCGUGUCGGACGCGGCGCUGGCAGCGCGCCGAAAGCGGCUCUGUUCCGGGGUGAGAAACGCCGGGUUCGGGGACGGGUUUGGGUGCCGCCCCGUCCGGCAGCGAACGGAGCGUCGGCUUCGGGGGCGCCGUGGGGACGGAGCGGCGCCCGAGGAAGCGAACGGCAUCGCGAGGACGAGAAGGAGCGGAGGCGGAAGCCGUGCCACAGCUCGAGGCCUUUUGUCCCCGAUUCGCUCACAGCUCAUCCAAGCCGUCGUCCUCCGCAGGGAAAUCCCCGACGGUGACGCGCUGCGGCCGCACGAAGGCUCCGUACGGCGAGGGGCAACUGAAGUAACGGCGGCCGCCGACGCUGCGGGGACGGGGNNNNNNNNNNNNNNNNNNNNNNNNNNNNNNNNNNNNNNNNNNNNNNNNNNGGGUUUGGGGGCACCUACGGACAAUAUAUGGCAUUUGGGGUCAUCUGUGGGCGUUUGUGGUCAUCUGUGAGCAUUUGGGGACACCUGUGGGCACUUGGGGUCAUCUGUGGACACGUAGGGACAGAUAACGGGCAUUUGGGGACACCUACGGACAAUAGAUGGCAUUUGGGGUCAUCUGUGGGCGUUUGGGGACAGAUAACAGGCAUUUGGGGUCAUCUGUGGGCAUUUGGGGACACCUGUGGGCAACUAGGGACAUCUAUGGAUAUUUGGGGACAGAUGUGGGCAUUUGGGGACCCCUAUGGCAUUUGGAGCCAUUUGUGGACAAUUAGGGUCAUCUGUGGGCAUUUGGGGACAUCUAUGGGCAUCUGGGGACACCUGUAGACAUUUGGGGACACCUGUAGACAUUCAGGGACCCCUAUGGGGACCUGAGGACCCCUAUUGCACUUGGGGACAUCUAUGGACAUUUGGGGACACCUGUGGGCAUUUGGGGCCAUCUGUGGACAAUUAGGGACAUCUAUGAACAUUUGGGGACCCCUGUGGCACUUGGGGACAUCUGUGGGCAUUUGGGGACAGAUAUGGGCACUCAGGGACACCUAUGGACUCUUGGAGACACCCAUAGGCAUUUGGGGACACCUUUCAGGACACUUAUGGGCACCGGAGGACCCCUAUGGCACUUGGGGACACCUGUGGACAUUUGGGGUCAUCUAUAGGAACCCCAGGGGCCACCUCUGCCAUUGUGCUGGGGGUCAGUAGGACCCUAUUAGGACACGAAGCCAUUUGGGGACAACGGGAGACCCUUGGGGACCCCAGGGGCCAUUUGGGGACCCCUGGUGACACUGAGUGCCCCGUACCUGCCAUCAUGUUUACCCACGGGCUCAUCGUAGUGGAUCCCCACCCAAUGUCCGGGUUUGAAGUCAGUCAGCCCUGCAGGGAGGAAGGGAGGAAGGGAGG
rnacentral:lncRNA from 1 species